rnacentral:rRNA from 1 species
GGCUCUUUGACAUAAAUAUAUAAAGAGUCGAACCUGCCCAGUGAUCAUUUUUAAACGGCCGCGGUACUCUGACCGUGCAAAGGUAGCAUAAUCAUUUGCCCUAUAAUUGAGGGCUCGUAUGAACGGUUUGACAAAAGCAUAACUGUCUCUUUAAAAUUUUAUAGAAUUUGGUUUUUAGGUGAAGAAACCUAAAUAUAAUUGAAAGACAAGAAGACCCUAUCGAGCUUUAAAACAAUUAAUUAAAAACAUAAUUAAAAUAAUUUAAUUUAAUUAAAAAUUUUGGUUGGGGCGACUGAGGAACAGAUAAAGCUUCCUUAAUUAAAAUAUGCUUAUAAGCUGUGAUCCAAAAAAUUUGAUUAAAAAAAUUAGUUACCGUAGGGAUAACAGCAUAAUCUUUUUCAAGAGUUCUUAUCGAAAAGAAGGUUUGUGACCUCGAUGUUGGACUAGGGUAUCUUAAAGAUGCAGAAGUCUUUAAAAGUUGGUCUGUUCGACCAUUAAAACCCU